UAAUACGUAGGGUGCGAGCGUUAAUCGGAAUUACUGGGCGUAAAGGGUGCGCAGGCGGUCUGCUAAGCUUGAUGUGAAAGCCCCGGGCUUAACCUGGGAACGGCAUUGAGGACUGGCAGACUAGAGUGUGGCAGAGGGGGGUGGAAUUCCACGUGUAGCAGUGAAAUGCGUAGAGAUGUGGAGGAACACCGAUGGCGAAGGCAGCCCCCUGGGCUAACACUGACGCUCAGGCACGAAAGCGUGGGGAGCAAACAGGAUUAGAUACCCUGGUAGUCCACGCCCUAAACGAUGUCAACUAGGUGUUGGAGGAGCGAUCUUUCAGUACCGCAGCUAACGCGCGAAGUUGACCGCCUGGGGAGUACGGUCGCAAGAUUA
rnacentral:rRNA from 1 species